rnacentral:lncRNA from 1 species
ACGGUGCAGUCAGAGAGGUGACCAAAGAAAGUAAGUUUACCUGCCGGGACUGUAUGUGGGGCUUGAGGGAGAGUAAGAUGGAGAUGUGGGGGAAUAUGAUGGUGAGGUUGGGCUGCAAAAGAAAAGAAAACAUCAAUGGUAGGCUACAUGAGAUUUCCUCAACACAAUAAUUAUAAUAAUUGGAAAAGACAGAGGCAGCAAAACAGAGAAUUAGAAACUGGAGACUAAUCAACUGUGAGAGUAAUAAUCCUACGCAUCAGCCCACAUACAGCAAUUCUAAUACCAUAAGUGCAGUUCAAAAGAUAGCUCACCUGUAGUUCGGAGAGGUAGGACUGUAUGGACUAGAUGGUGACAAUCUUGGACUGCUUGGAGAGUAAGCUGAUGACGGACUGUACUUGGCAGACUGAGGAUUAUAGCUUGGAGAUGUAGGGCUGUAACUGGGCGAGGUUGGACUAUAACUAGGCGAGGUUGGGCUGUAACCAGGAGAAGUUGGGCUGUAGGCUGGCGAGGUAGGGCUGUAGGAUGGAGAUGUUGGACUGUAGGAAGGAGAAGUUGGGCUGUAGGAAGGCGAAGUUGGGCUGUAGGAUGGCGAAGUUGGGCUGUAGGAAGGAGACGUGGGACUGUAAGAUGGCGAAGUGGGGCUAUAUGCGGGGGAAGUGGGGCUGUAAGCAGGUGAAGUGGGGCUGUAAGCAGGGGAAGUAGGGCUGUAGCUUGGUGAAGUGGGGCUGUAGCUUGGAGAGGUGGGGCUGUAGCUGGGAGAGGUUGGCGAGUAUGAUGGACUCGUAGGAGAGUAAGCUGGACUGGUGGGACUAUAGCCGGAGAACUAGGACUAUAUGUCGGAGAGGUGGGACUGUACCCAGGAGAAGUGGGGCUAUACCCUGGAGAGGUGGGACUGUAGCCAGGAGAAGUGGGGCUGUAUCCAGGGGAGGAAGGGCUGUAUCCAGGGGAUGAUGGGCUGUAGCCUGGAGAGGAAGUAGGAGAGAAUGCCAUUCCUCCAACAUAAGGAGAAAACUGAGCAUCCGAAAUUGGUGACAGCCGAAGAUUUGGGCUCAGCAAAU